UUUGCAUGCCAUAUAAUUUAUAUAAUAAUAAUAAUAAUAAUAAUAAUAAUAACAACAACAACAACAACAACAACAAUAAUAAUAAUAA